CUGGGCCACCCCACUCUCCUGGAGGGCCCCAGCAGCAGCGCUUACCAGAGUCUGCCAGUGCCAGGGAACUUCUCCAUGCAGCUUGAGCUCUGUGCUGCAAUGCCUCUUCUCCUGGCAGUGGCUGUUUUGAGAGCCUAAAGGAGGCUCCUCUCAUGCCCUCUGAUGUCAUGUUGCUGUUGCUAUUGCCUCCUGUGUGCUGUGUUCCUGCCUGUCCUCACUCAGAGCCAUCCACCAUGAAGCCCUGAAGGUGGGAACUUCGAUUUAUUUGUACAACAACCAGAGCAGUGAUUUUCUGAAGCCAUUUGGAAUGAAGUCUUGAACAAGAAAACCUUGAACAGCUACCGUGUAGAAACAUAUCUUACUCCCUGAUUCUGGAUGAAAUAAAAGCCUAUUCUUCUUAA